GAAUCCGCCAAGGAGUGUGUAACAACUCACCUGCCGAAUGAAGUAGCCCUGAAAAUGGAUGACGCUAAAGCGGGUAGCCGAUACUACGCCGUCUAAAAAAAGUUUUUUUUUAUGAUUUUUAGAUGAGUAGGGGGGCGUGGUGAUCGUAUCGAAGCACUGCGUACAAACGUGUGUGGAACGGUCACUAGUGCAGAUCUUGGUGGUAGUAGCAAAUAUUCAAGUGAGAACCUUGAAGGGCGAAGCGGGGAAGGGUUCCAUGCGAACAUUGAUUGGGCAUGGGUGAGUCGUCCCUAAGCCGAGUGGCAAUUGCUUACUCACGCGCGCGAAAGGGAAGCGGGUUGAAAUUCCCGCACACGGAUGUGGAAGCGGUGACGCACUACUGGGGCGGUGACGUUGGCAAUGGCGCUGGGCAGAGUUUUCUUUUCUGUUUAACCGCCUGACGCUUGCACUGUGGAAUCCGCUUGUCGGGAGAAACAGGCAAGGCACGGGUAGAGCGCCGGGCUUUUUCCGGCGUCCAGCUCGCCAUUGACGGCCCUUGAAAAACUGUCCUCAGAUUUUAAACUCCACGCCGUGGCGUACCGAUAACCGCAUCAGGUCCCCAAGGUGAACAGCCUCUGCUCGAUAUGAAAAAUGCAGGUAAGGGAAGUCGGCA
rnacentral:rRNA from 1 species